GAUUUUAAAGUAUUUUUUAUAAAAGUACACUCUUUCAAUCACUUGUUAAAUACCCAGUGAUGAUAAUUUCCCAGAGCAGGAAUAUUUGGUUGUUCUUGCUGUCAUGAAGUACUUGAAACCCCCUGUUGCACAGCCAGACCUGAUCUGUAUUCGCCCCACGACCUCCGGCUCCGGGAGCGUCACUGCUAUCGUGCCAGAGGUUUAUUUGCUUUCACCUUCUCCUGAUGCCUCUCGGUGGAUGAUCCUGAAAGAAAUAUCCAGCCGCUGGUGAAGCAGCGGUGCUUAACGCUGCUCGGCGUGUGAAACACGGGCCCAGGAGGAGAUGGAAAGUGGGCAACAUGGAUUUUUGCCAAAACGACGGCUGGACUUUAUGCAAAUCUCCAAGAGCCGGGCCCUGGAGUGAAGGAGAAUCUGAUAAUGCAGCUGCCAGAUCAAAACUGGCGGUUUCCUUGGGGUGCAAACAAGAUGGUGCAACUGAAAUGAAACUCUCAUGUUGCUGGAGACAAUAAAAGGACUCAUCGGAGACACCCGCAGCAGCAGAAGUAACCAUCUGAUCGGUCACUUGACAGCAGUACUAGGCUGUAAUGGCCGGGGGACACGGCGGCUGCCCACCACCCUGCAGCCCCACCACUGCCGCCUCAGCAGUGCGCUUCGCCGAACCAUGGGGCUGCCACGGGACCCCCCUCGUGCAUCAGGACUCGCUGGCCGGGACGUGCUCGCAGAGAGAGAAUAGUUAUUCUGAUACUGAUUCCUAAUACCAAUGUGAACACUGGCUUCUUUCAGAAGUGAAUUCUCAAAAAUGCUGGGAGAGGUCUGGAAUGGAAGGUCACUUUACUGAGACUGUUGAUGAACCUCAGCGUUAUUUCAUCCCAUUCCUCAGGGAGCAGCAUCAGCAGAAACCCAAUGCAAAUGAUGAUGGUGGCUCCCAACCUCACUACACUGAAGAUCAUUUUGUGCUUCAACAGAUCCACAGCUGUGAAGAAGAAACAACAACGCCAUCAAAACUGCAGCAGGGUGAUCUACAGCCCGGCACGUCUCUGUGACCUGCGUGCUGCACUCUGGCUGUGAUAUUGGCCCCAUCGCUCUCGGUCCUCUAGAGUGACCAGCUCCUUGAGUUCAGAGGACAGCUUUGACCUGACAGCGUGGUACUGGAAGCGCCACAUCUCACUGCCUUCAUGCAGGCUCUGAGGAAGCCUUGUAGGACCCGUCUAAGCCUCAAAGUUUCCAUUUCUGCUCUGAGAGGGAAGGUACUUUACGGUAACUCUAUCUACAGCAGGCUGCAUCACCAUGAUGUUUCCUCGGGCUGCACGGACCAGUGAUGGGGCGAGGGCAGCAUGCAGGUCAGAAAGCUGGAUUCGACGCCUCCAGGCCCAGCCGCCCAACUCCACAACAGCACAUCUGAGCCCUUCAGCAGCCUCUUACAGGUACUGACUGUUUCACAGCUCUGACCUGCAUUUCCCUAAAAAUAGAUUUUCUUUGAAAAUAUGCUGAAAUAUCUGGAGUGGCGAGGCUAAGAGGGUGAAGGGAGGAGGAGGAGACAAGCUAGGAUUCGGGAGUGAACUUCCACCUAUAGCCCCUGCCCUGCUGCUGCGCGGCAAGUCAGCAGCACCGGCUGAGCCACAGCAGCAGCACGCUGACCCCGCCACGUCUCAGCAGCAACCAGCUUUGGGCUGCUGGCUGGGGAUCCGCCUGCCCUCUCCUCUGCAUCGUACAGAUGCAUCCCCUCGCUCCCAGAGAAAGGAGGCAAGACAAAAAGAAAAGGCUUUUACCACCAUCACCAGGAGCAUCCGUAGAAGCUCAAGGAGACUGAACUGCUUUUGAAAUACGUGACAACAGAUUUUGACUAUUUAGACAAUAAACCGCUUCCGCUGCCUGCA